rnacentral:rRNA from 1 species
UACGGAGGGUGCGAGCGUUAAUCGGAAUUACUGGGCGUAAAGGGUGCGUAGGUGGUUAAUUAAGUUAUCUGUGAAAUCCCUGGGCUCAACCUGGGCAGGUCAGAUAAAACUGUUUAACUCGAGUAUAGGAGAGGGUAGUGGAAUUUCCGGUGUAGCGGUGAAAUGCGUAGAGAUCGGAAGGAACACCAGUGGCGAAGGCGGCUACCUGGCCUAAUACUGACACUGAGGCACGAAAGCGUGGGGAGCAAACAGGG